GUGCCAGCCGCCGCGGUAAUACGGAGGGGGCGAGCGUUGUUCGGAAUCAUUGGGCGUAAAGGGCGCGUAGGCGGCCGGCCAAGUCGGGUGUGAAAUCCCUCGGCUCAACCGAGGAACUGCACUCGAUACUGGCUGGCUCGAGUCCGGGAGGGGAUGGUGGAAUUCCCAGUGUAGCGGUGAAAUGCGUAGAUAUUGGGAAGAACACCGGUGGCGAAGGCGGCCAUCUGGACCGGAACUGACGCUGAGGCGCGAAAGCCAGGGGAGCGAAUGGGAUUAGAAACCCCAGUAGUCC
rnacentral:rRNA from 1 species